UUUUUACAAUGGCUAGCAUUAAUAAUUGUUAAGAAUUCUGAUUAAUAUAUCUCUUGAUACUUGUAAGAGAUUUUUUAGCCUGGGGGAGGGAUGAGAAGCAAUAGAGGGGAUAAAAUGAGAGAGAAGGGUUGUGGUGCUUGAGAUAAGGGGAUAGGGCAUGAGGAUAUCAUGUUCAGAGUCAGUCUACUUCUAAGAGAACUUCACCUUACCAUUCAAUAAGAGCUAUGUUUAUUGUUGGUCCCAUUGGCAUAUGGUGAACAUUUUCUUUCCACAGUAGCCAGUAGGUCCCCCAAGAAGACUGGCUAUGACACCCAUCUGUAUUUCAAAAUUUUGGGGCCGGGUGUAGUGGCUCACAUCUGUAAUCCCAGCACUUUGGGAGGCUGAGGCAGGAGGGAUAGCUUGAGCUCAGCAGUUCAAGAUCACCCUGGGCAACAAAAUGAGAACUCAUUCCCCCCCGCCUUUCUCUCUCUCUCUCUCUCUCAAAACUUUGGCUGGUUACUAACUUAAAUAAGUUGGACUCCUCUCUCUCUUACUUCCUCCCUCCCCCCAAAACAGAAGGUUCCUGGUCUUUAGUGAGUCAAAGAACAUGAAGGUGGAUCCCUGAAUAUCUAAUGCAGUAGGAUGGAAGGAAAACAUCUCAUUGGUGUCUUUGGAAAAAGGCACUGUCACAUCUUUGACCAAAAGGGAUGAAAAUAUCAAAUGUUACACCUGGAAGUAACCUUCGGGUAUCCAGGGGAAUAACUUCACUGUGUAAAUAAAGAGCCACAGCGGUCCACUGACUACUUCUCACAGCUGAAUUGAUGGGGUCGUGGAAUAUUAGGGCAGUGAAGAAGCCAUGGGAGAAACUUCCACAUUUGGUAAAAUUUUCAAAGAAUGAAAUGCGCAACGCUUAAAUAUGCUAUUUAAUGAAUUUUGACAACUGCAUGCGGCUUUGUAACCUAAAGGCAGAUCAAGAUACAGGGACCAGGCUUAAUGGCUCAUUCCUGUAAUCCCAGCAAUUUGGAAGGACAAGGUGGGUAGAUAGUUUUACUUAGGAAUUAGAGACCAGACUGGACAACAUGGCGAAACCCUGUCUUUACCAAAUCAUUAAACACAAAGCCAAACUCCCUGUAUCUGCCUUCAGUGUUUUCUUCCCCUUUCUCUUGCACUGAACACCGGUAUCUCUCUGAGGACUGGUCUGGCCUGGUGGGUAACGUGUCCCCCUGAAAGUUGGACAUCAACACCCCUGCCUUUGCUAAGGCUGGCUGUCAGCUCGCUUCUUGGAGUCUCUUC
rnacentral:lncRNA from 13 species